rnacentral:rRNA from 1 species
CAGUAGCCGCGGGAAUACGAAGGGGGCUAGCGUUGUUCGGAAUUACUGGGCGUAAAGCGCACGUAGGCGGAUCGAUCAGUCAGGGGUGAAAUCCCAGGGCUCAACCCUGGAACUGCCUUUGAUACUGUCGAUCUGGAGUAUGGAAGAGGUGAGUGGAAUUCCGAGUGUAGAGGUGAAAUUCGUAGAUAUUCGGAGGAACACCAGUGGCGAAGGCGGCCCACUGGUCCAUUACUGACGCUGAGGUGCGAAAGCGUGGGGAGCAAACAGGAUUAGAUACCCCCGUAGUCCCUGUCUCUUAUAA